UGCGGAAGGAUCAUUACCGAGUGAGGGCCCUCUGGGUCCAACCUCCCACCCAUGUUUAUUGUACCUUGUUGCUUCGGCGGGCCCGCCUCACGGCCGCCGGGGGGCUUCUGCCCUCUGGCCCGCGCCCGCCGAAGACACCAUUGAACACUGUCUGAAGAUUGCAGUCUGAGCAAUUAGCUAAAUAAGUUAAAACUUUCAACAACGGAUCUCUUGGUUCCGGCAUCGAUGAAGAACGCAGCGAAAUGCGAUACGUAAUGUGAAUUGCAGAAUUCAGUGAAUCAUCGAGUCUUUGAACGCACAUUGCGCCCCUUGGUAUUCCGGGGGGCAUGCCUGUCCGAGCGUCAUUGCUGCCCUCAAGCACGGCUUGUGUGUUGGGCCCCGUCCUCCUUCCCGGGGGACGGGCCCGAAAGGCAGCGGCGGCACCGCGUCCGGUCCUCGAGCGUAUGGGGCUUUGUCACCCGCUCUUGUAGGCCCGGCCGGCGCUUGCCGACAACCAUCAAUCUUUUUUCAGGUUGACCUCGGAUCAGGUAGGGAUACCCGCUGAACUUAAGCAUAUCAA
rnacentral:rRNA from 1 species